GUGGAACAGUGGAACAGUGGAACAGUGGAACAGUGGAACAGUGGAUACAGAGGACUAAAGGAACAUUGGCACAGAGGACCAGAGGAACAGUGGGUACAGUAGACCAGAAAAAUAGUGACCACAGAGGACCAGAGGAACAAUGGGUACAGUAGACCAGAAAAAUAGUGACCACAGAGGACCAGAGGAACAAAGGGCAUAGAGGAUCAGAGGAAAAGUGGCUACAGAGAAACAGAGGAACAGUGAAUACAGGUGACCACAGGAACUAAGGGCACAGAGGAUCAGAGGGAAAGAUGCCAACAUUCAAAAGCAACAACCAAAAUUUUUUUUCAAACAACUUCGAACGGUCAGAUAAUGGAUAUCCCGGUGUUCCAACCUUCCACACUUACGCCUCAACCCCUGAAUAAAGACAGAGGACAAUUUCAAUAAUGAUAAGGAGGUAAAUGUGUUCGAAUAGGCAAGAGCCAGCCUUGACUCCAAAUUCAGGCGAUCCUCUCAGUUGUGUUAAACUCAAAAGAUUUGCAUAAUUCUUUAAAUUCUACUGCAGUUAGUCUUUUUUGAGAAUGCACCAUUAAUAGCAACUUAACCUCUGGUAUCUUUAACUGAACGUUUUUAAAGCUGCAAAGAGUUCCAUGGGACAUUUGAAUUUUUUCAGCUUAUAUAUUCGUUUCCAUAAAAUGUAAUAUUUAAACUAAGGUAUACAUUGUAAUUUUCUCAUUUUCAAUCGUCAUCAUGUUUUGCAGAAAGGGAUUUUACUCAUGUUUUGUUACCAUAAUUUGUUACAUUUCUCGUUAUUGACGGAAGGACGCAUGGUAGAUUUCACUAUCGUAACUUUUCAAAAUAUCACCGGAUUUUUGGCUGAAUUUGGACACGGUAUGAUCACCUAAUCGUACAUUUUUGGUAUGUUUCGAAGGCAUAACUAACUUCUUAUACUGGCGCGUGGCAGUCGAGUCAAAAUACCAUACUGGUCUGAUUCUCCGCCUAAGUGUAACAAAGAGGCACGAUUUGUUAUAAUAAACAAAUCUGAUCAGUACCUCAUGUGUGAUUAAAGUACUAAAUAGUGUGCAAAAUCUGCAUGCAAUUUUCUUUUCUAGGGAAUGUGGGAGAGGCUGAGAAUUCGCUUGGAAAAAUCCAAGAUAUUAGAAGAUUUUCUGGGAUCAAUAUUCAGGAUGUUUUGGAGAGAUUUUUAGAAUAUUUUUCGGGAUUUUGAGUCUAAACCUGCUUUUGUUUCUGUUGUUCUUUACUUCUUAUUACAAUUCAGAACAUUUAGAAGUUUUGGAAAAAUUUAGUAAAUAUCGUGUGAGGUGUUUGAAGCAUAUAAAAACGGACUUAGGAAUGGCCGAUACAACGGUCACUUCAUGGCUCUUGCUUGCACCUGACCUUGAAGCCGUCUCUGCAAUUUAGUGUACAAAGCUCAUGAUGUCCAAGGAAAUAUGGAUAACAAAAAAAAAUUUGAUGAGCCUUUUUAUUUCUGAUGUGCAGAUUGAAUUGAAAGCAAACUAGGUUAUCCCUUGAGCGCUUGCUCGCUUACCACGCCCCUGAAAAUUAAAACCGCAUAACCUCGAUUACUGCUUAAUCGACAAAUCUAUGCAUGUAUAGAGACAUUCUAUCCUGGCAUCGCAAAUCCUAUUUUUUUUUUUUGAGGUAUGGGAACGCGGCUCCCCGUUGUAUAAAUAAAAGCUCGCAGUCCAAGACUUAAAAAGAGCACCAAUGGUUUUUGACUAGGUCCAGUAUCCAGGUGGUGGAAAGAAAAAUGUUGGAAAACUGGUCUCCAUCACCCACGGGGCGCGAAGCGGCUGGCGGUAUGUGUGACAUGUGCAAACUGGGGCUGAAAUGGAUUGCCUUUGACUACCCUCAUCACCAAAACGUUCUCUUCUUCCCUUCGCUCGGCGAUUUGAGAACCAUACCUGGAGGAUGACAAAUAUGUUUAAAUGUCUUAUUAGAAGCCUGGAUAUAGCCCAGAUGUAUAUCCGAGACCUGAGAGUUUAUUAGAGCGCGAGAUUAACCAAUCAGAAUUUACUUCCCAACAUAGCGUUGUUACGCCUGAUUCCUGACAGGAUUUUCCUUCAGUUUUUACCUGGAUUCUUGUCUCGUGGAUUCCAAGCUGCUGAGCCAAAGUUUCGCGUUCCCAUGAAUUAGGAUGGACCAAGGUCGAACUAUGCGUGAAUGACUUGCCUCAAUGAGAAGAGACUUCUAUGUGACGUCAUCAUAGGUGAGAUAUCCGGGAUAAUAAAAAAACUGCGAUGUUUCCGCAGUUGUUGCGGUCUUACGUCGGAAAAGUUUUUAGAUUUUCUCCGGUGUUGCCCAGAAUGAAGGUGCCUCUGGAUCAUAGGCAGACAGUUAAGAAUCAUCUUUAAGGAAGAGAAGGGACAGCAAAUCCAGUAAAGAAAGCGCUCUGCCACCACUAUCUGUUCAAGUUGAGGCCCAAUCGCAACCAGUAAGCGGUGAAGGCUGCUUAUAAACUUCUUUAAGGUAUUUUUAAGUCAACAUCCUUGUGGACAAAAGGUGGAGAACAAUACAGACAGGCCGUCGGGACUUAUUAAAGGACGACCAUGACCGCCUGAUAGAGAUUUUGGAAUAUGUGAGAGAACACUGCGGCACACCUAGUGGAGCAGCUGCGAUAAUGGACGAGGGAAUUUCCAUUCCUACAGGCAGAGGGUGUCAUGAUAUGGUGAUUUAGUUUGAAAUACCAUUCUGAAUAAAGAGAAGUCCACGACUAUCGCUACCAAUGUAAUGGUAAAUUUUUACACCGAGAACGUACCAGAAAAAUAUACUUCGAGAAAAUUUGACAGGUAACGUGGGGCGGCGUAACGUGCAAAGUCUGAUUCAAAAUAUUUACCGUCUGUAGCACAGAGCUUGGAGUGAUUUUCGCGCUCACUUUUCAGUAUAAUAUGUCUUACAUAAACUUUUACUGUAUUUCUUAAAGGCAAAAUUCAAGGGGCCCUUUAUACUUUUAUUACCUAGUUUUCUCAUAUUAUAUCAUCUUCGCAUGAGCUCCUUAGAAGAACUCCUUAAGCUCAUGAUCAUCGAGGCAGUCAAAGCGCUGUGAUUUUUCUUUCUUUUGACCUUUUUUUUCACUGGGCUCAAUGUUGGGGGCGGGGGGAGACAACUUAACUAAGAAUCAAACUGGGCGACUUUUCUAAAUCUCCUUCACAUCUGCAUUUGAAAUUACUUUACACGUUUUUCAAAAGUGUUUGAUUUUUUUUAAUUCUGCCGGGGAACACACGAAGCAUUACGUCACAAUCAUAUUUGAAUACUCUCUCGAUAAUCUCAUCUGAAUUAGAACGCGAACCAUCUUAAAUAUUUUAGAAGGAGGAAUUUAGACGCUUCGAGGUUAGGUUAUACGAUUCUGCGUGGAAUCAGAAAUUCUUUAUUUCAUAGACAGAUAAGUUCGUCGAAAAAUGAAAUAUCAAUUUUAUUCAAUAUUUAGUUAUACUCCAAAUCUCAAGUUUUUGGUUGGCAUGGGUAUUGAUAUAAGACAGGCGAUUAAAAAUUGGAUUAUAAAUUUAUAAUAUCUUGACGAAAAAAAUAAGAGCUAAAGGAUUAAUAUCAGGAAAUUUAAAAUAUCUUGAUAUCAGGGGAAGAGGAUUUUUUACGACGCGGCUUGUGAUUUGUAGCUCCUUCACGCCUCAUAACCAUAUGCAACUCUCACUUAGUCAAGAGGAAAUGGAAAGCAUUGUUACACAGGCUGGUUACAACAUCGACUAAAGUUUCCUGAAAGAAAAUAACAGACAAUGUAUGGAAAAUCCACUUCAACCAACAGGGUAAAUUCAAGGACAGGUACAGCCAUAGCCACUAUGAAGCAAGCAUCCUUACCACUCCCAAAAUGCAUUAUGAGCUGCUCCAGAUGUCCGGGUGGUCCAGGGAACAAUUUAAACAUUAAUACAGUUUUGUCUAUUUAGAUUAAUUAUUGCUAAGUACAUCAUUUCACAACAAUGUACUUUAACAAGUCAGGUAUAUAUAUAAUUAAUAACACAAAAGAAAAUGCUUUCUGGUUUUAUUGCUAAUAGAGAUAUCAAAUCAAGAAAGUAUAAGCUUUUUUAUGACAAGUCAAAUUUUAGCUGAAGGCUUUUCGAGUUAUUAAUUUGACAAUAAAAAAUCUAAAACAAGCUAAAAUUCCAAGAUAAUUUAUAUAAUGUUUAGAUUGAUCCUCAGACCACUGACCCCUAGUUGAUAUGGAAUUAAGAACUCCUCACUGCCAGUCAGAAAGGCGUCUGAAUGAAUUGUUACUUGGGGUGUACCAUGGGUUGCAGUGUUACAUGAGGUGGUGAUAUUUUCAGUCCACCAUAGAAGAUCAGAUCUUGCCAUGUCUGAAAGAGUCAUGAUGGCUUUAAAAUUGCCUUUAUUUUGUUUUAAGGUUUUAACCUUGUCUCUAGUUCAAGUUGACUAUAAUAUAGGGGACCAUACCGUACCCCAGGGAAGCUUGCUACCAUAAGACCAAUCACCUCAGAGACAGUCUAAAUGGUGGGAGAGAGGUUAUGGUACAAGCCAACUGCUUUUAAUUUGAUCUUUGUGGCUUUUGUGGGUGUCAGAGAAACUUUCAUUUCAACAGAGUUUAGUGUGAAACCCAUAAGAUUAAUAUACUAAGUAGGAACAAGAACUGAUUUUUCUCUGUUAAGUGUAAGGCCCAAAUUUGUGAAUAGCUUGAUUGUUUGCAUCACAAUCCUGAAAAGUGUUCCCUUUGAGAUAAGUAUCAUCUAUAUAGCCCACAUUCUCAAAACCUUUGGAGUGCAAGGUUGAGUAUGCUGGCUUCAUUAAUUUUGUGAAUAUUCUCAGAGCACUACUCAAUCCAUUGGGAAGACAAGUAAACUGAAAAAAGUGGUUCUUGCAUUUGAACCAAAGAUAUUUUCUAUGAUUUGGGUCUAUAGACCCAGAAUAGUAGGCAUCAUUUAAAUCUAUGUUAGCCAUGUAACAGUUAGGGCUCAUUAGAGUGAUGGCACUUCUUAGUUUUUCUUUUUUGAAAUGGUGAUAUUGCACAGAUUGAUUUAGAUAUUUCAGACUGAGAAUCAGUUGAUAUGAGCCAUCUUUCUUCAGCCAAAUAAAAAUGUUGGAUAUGUAUUCUUCAGAAUGUGUUGUUUUCUCAAUAA